rnacentral:lncRNA from 1 species
CUAAUUAGUUGCUGGGAAUUUUAGAAGUAUUCUCUCUUUCAUCUCUACAAACACUCUCUACAAAUACUUCUUCUCUAAAACCUCCUUUCUUAUACAUAUAUAUUUAUAUAUACAAGGUUUUAGUUAUAUAAGCUUAGUUCAACCAACCAAGCUCUCUCCCAACCCAACUAGCUCAACCACUACUACUUUAGGCCUCCCGUAGGGCUGCCCAAGUUCCGCCACUAAGCCAAAAUCCGGCCGAACCUCCGGCGAAUUUUUCCGACGAACUUUCCGAUCGUUUUUGUAAGUGGUUAUUAUUUUAGCUUCGAUCCGAGUCUUAACCGACCAUUAUAUAUACAAGAGCUAGUUAUUAUUCUCGAUCUAUUCAUCUUAAAGCUCUUCAUCUUAUAUCUCUUAUAAAAGAGAUUUCUUAUUUCGAAUUAAAUUCAAACACGAACUAACAAAGUCGUGUUAUUCGAAAUAUAAAUAUAUAU